GACAGAGGGUGCAAACGUUGUUCGGAAUUACUGGGCGUAAAGCGCACGUAGGCGGAUCGUUAAGUCGGGGGUGAAAUCCUGGAGCUCAACUCCAGAACUGCCUUCGAUACUGGCGAUCUUGAGUCCGGAAGAGGUGAGUGGAACUCCUAGUGUAGAGGUGGAAUUCGUAGAUAUUAGGAAGAACACCAGUGGCGAAGGCGGCUCACUGGUCCGGUACUGACGCUGAGGUGCGAAAGCGUGGGGAGCAAACAGGG
rnacentral:rRNA from 1 species